UUCUGCUUCUCUCUGACCAUACACAACCCCAAAGGCACAUAGGAUACCUGUGCCUGGGCAAGGGCAAAGGAGGACGAGAGCUUUGAGAAGUUUUAGAAAAAAGAAAUUGUGCUCUCUUGAAUAAAUUGACAAUCUUGGCUGGCUUUUCUGGAGUCUUCCCAAGACCAGCACAUGUGUGGAAAGUACCAGGAUUGCCAGUCUAAAAAUGUCACCUGCAGGCAAUGCCAGCUUUUGAUUAGCCACUAUGGAAUCCCAAACAGAUUCUGCUUUUGCUGAUCCCUGGUGAUGUCUGAGACCUACAUCUUACUGCAAAGGAGGGACUGUGAAAAGAAAAACGUUGUAAAUUGUGUGGGUUUGGACCUCUAUCAGGCACCAUGGUUGAGCAACUGCUGCUCUGAAGAUCUUAAAAAUGAACACUUGUUCCUCGGACUGAAAUAUUUGUGAGUCGGAGGGGUUUAUCAUAGCUUUGCCAGUUUUUACAACCAAGUCUAAUUAUAACACGUGAUGUUAGGAAAGUGAUCUAU